AUUGAACGCUGGCGGCAGGCCUAACACAUGCAAGUCGAGCGGAUGAAGGGAGCUUGCUCCUGGAUUCAGCGGCGGACGGGUGAGUAAUGCCUAGGAAUCUGCCUGGUAGUGGGGGAUAACGUCCGGAAACGGGCGCUAAUACCGCAUACGUCCUGAGGGAGAAAGUGGGGGGUCUUCGGACCUCACGCUAUCAGGUGAGCCUAGGUCGGAUUAGCUAGUUGGUGGGGUUAAGGCCUACCAAGGCGACGAUCCGUAACUGGUCUGAGAGGCUGAUCAGUCACACUAGAACGGAGACACGGUCCAUACUACUACGAGAGGCAGCAGUGGGGAAUAUUGGACAAUGGGCGAAAGCAUGAUACAACCAUGCCGCGUGUGUGAAGAAGGUGUUCGGAUUGUAAAGAACUUUAAGUUGGGAGGAAGCGCAGUAAGUUAAUACCUUGCUGUAGUGACGUUACCAACAGAAUAAGCACCGGCUAACUUCGUG
rnacentral:rRNA from 1 species